rnacentral:rRNA from 1 species
GUUGGUGGUGUGAAUUGUCUGGUUGAUUCCGUUAACGAACGAGACCUUUACUGGUAAAUAGUCACGGGAAGGCAGUGCGUCAAGGCGCGUGGAGGCCAACCCUGGGAAGGAUCCGUUCCCCCAAGGUUGCCGAUCUCCCGCGUUGCAUUUCUUUCUGGAAGUACUUCUUACUAGGACUAUUAGUGACAAGCUAAUGGAAGUUGGAGGCCAAAACAGGU